CAAAUAAUGAAUUUGGCAAGAUGUCGGAAUAGCUGAGAGCACAGCGGAUCGAACAUUUUAUCGUCCGAAAAAAUGUGAUUAUUUUUGAAAAGCGGCUAUGCCUCAUCUAGUCAAUUGCAUUACUUUG
ensembl:ncRNA mir-31b mir-31b stem loop